GGCCAGUUAGCUCAGUCAGUAGAGCGUAGUGCUAACAACGCUAAGGUCAUGGGCUUGAUUCCCGUUCAGUCCC
rnacentral:tRNA from 1 species